AGCGAACGCUGGCGGCAGGCCUAACACAUGCAAGUCGAACGAACCUUUCGGGGUUAGUGGCGGACGGGUGAGUAACACGUGGGAACGUGCCCUUAGGUUCCGUACAACUCAGGGAAACUUGUGCUAAUACCGAAUGUGCCCUUCGGGGGUAAGAUCUAUUGCCUUUGGAGCGGCCCGCGUCUGAUUAGCUAGUUGGUUGAGGUAAUGGCUCACCAAGGCGACGAUCAGUAGCUGGUCUGAGAGGAUGAUCAGCCACAUUGGGGCUGAGACACGGCCCAAACUCCUACGGGAGGCAGCAGUGGAGAAUCUUGCGCAAUGGGCGAAAGCCUAACGCAGCCAUGCCGCGUGAAUGAUGAAGGUCUUAGGAUUGUGAAAUUCUUUCACCGGGGGCGAUAAUGACGGUACCCGGAGAAGAAGCCCCGGCUAACUUCGUG
rnacentral:rRNA from 1 species